rnacentral:rRNA from 1 species
UGGGGAAUAUUGGACAAUGGGGGAAACCCUGAUCCAGCAAUGCCGCGUGAGUGAUGAAGGCCUUCGGGUUGUAAAGCUCUUUUGUUAGGGAAGAUAAUGACGGUACCUAACGAAUAAGCACCGGCUAACUUCGUGCCAGCAGCCGCGGUAAUACGAAGGGUGCUAGCGUUGUUCGGAAUGACUGGGCGUAAAGGGAGCGUAGGCGGUUUUGUACGUUUGGUGUGAAAGUCCUGGGCUUAACCUGGGGACUGCACUGAAUACGGCAAGACUUGAGAUAUUGAGGGGAAGAUGGAAUUGUGUGUGUAGAGGUGAAAUUCGUAGAUAUACACAAGAACACCAAUGGCGAAGGCAAUCUUCUGGCAAUCAUCUGACGCUAAGGCUCGAAAGCGUGGGGAGCAAA